GACGAACGCUGGCGGCGUGCUUAACACAUGCAAGUCGAACGGAAAGGCCCUGCUUUUGUGGGGUGCUCGAGUGGCGAACGGGUGAGUAACACGUGAGUAACCUGCCCUUGACUUUGGGAUAACUUCAGGAAACUGGGGCUAAUACCGGAUAGGAGCUCCUGCUGCAUGGUGGGGGUUGGAAAGUUUCGGCGGUUGGGGAUGGACUCGCGGCUUAUCAGCUUGUUGGUGGGGUAGUGGCUUACCAAGGCUUUGACGGGUAGCCGGCCUGAGAGGGUGACCGGCCACAUUGGGACUGAGAUACGGCCCAGACUCCUACGGGAGGCAGCAGUGGGGAAUAUUGCACAAUGGGCGGAAGCCUGAUGCAGCAACGCCGCGUGCGGGAUGACGGCCUUCGGGCUGUAAACCGCUUUCGCCUGUGACGAAGCGUGAGUGACGGUAAUGGGUAAAGAAGCACCGGCUAACUACGUGCCAGCAGCCGCGGUGAUACGUAGGGUGCGAGCGUUGUCCGGAUUUAUUGGGCGUAAAGGGCUCGUAGGUGGUUGAUCGCGUCGGAAGUGUAAUCUUGGGGCUUAACCCUGAGCGUGCUUUCGAUACGGGUUGACUUGAGGAAGGUAGGGGAGAAUGGAAUUCCUGGUGGAGCGGUGGAAUGCGCAGAUAUCAGGAGGAACACCAGUGGCGAAGGCGGUUCUCUGGGCCUUUCCUGACGCUGAGGAGCGAAAGCGUGGGGAGCGAACAGGCUUAGAUACCCUGGUAGUCCACGCUGUAAACGGUGGGUACUAGGUGUGGGGUCCAUUCCACGGGUUCCGUGCCGUAGCUAACGCUUUAAGUACCCCGCCUGGGGAGUACGGCCGCAAGGCUAAAACUCAAAGGAAUUGACGGGGCCCCGCACAAGCGGCGGAGCAUGCGGAUUAAUUCGAUGCAACGCGUAGAACCUUACCUGGGUUUGACAUGGAUCGGGAGCGCUCAGAGAUGGGUGUGCCUCUUUUGGGGUCGGUUCACAGGUGGUGCAUGGCUGUCGUCAGCUCGUGUCGUGAGAUGUUGGGUUAAGUCCCGCAACGAGCGCAACCCUUGUUCACUGUUGCCAGCACGUUAUGGUGGGGACUCAGUGGAGACCGCCGGGGUCAACUCGGAGGAAGGUGGGGAUGACGUCAAGUCAUCAUGCCCCUUAUGUCCAGGGCUUCACGCAUGCUACAAUGGCUGGUACAGAGAGUGGCGAGCCUGUGAGGGUGAGCGAAUCUCGGAAAGCCGGUCUCAGUUCGGAUUGGGGUCUGCAACUCGACCUCAUGAAGUCGGAGUCGCUAGUAAUCGCAGAUCAGCAACGCUGCGGUGAAUACGUUCCCGGG
rnacentral:rRNA from 1 species